AGCGCAGACGGUUUAUUAAAUCUGAUGUGAAAGCCCGGAGCUCAACUCCGGAAUGGCAUUGGAAACUGGUUAACUUGAGUGCAGUAGAGGUAAGUGGAACUCCAUGUGUAGCGGUGGAAUGCGUAGAUAUAUGGAAGAACACCAGUGGCGAAGGCGGCUUACUGGACUGCAACUGACGUUGAGGCUCGAAAGUGUGGGUAGCAAACA
rnacentral:rRNA from 1 species